GCGAUUUCCCAUACCACCCUGAACGCGCCCGAUCUCGUCUGAUCUCGGAAGCUAAGCAGGGUCGGGCCUGGUUAGUACUUGGAUGGGUGACCAUUAUUCUUGAGCAGAGUGUU
rnacentral:rRNA from 1 species